rnacentral:rRNA from 1 species
AGUUUGAUCAUGGCUCAGAUUGAACGCUGGCGGCAUGCCUUACACAUGCAAGUCGAACGGCAGCACGGAGCUUGCUCUGGUGGCGAGUGGCGAACGGGUGAGUAAUAUAUCGGAACGUACCCUAGAGUGGGGGAUAACGUAGCGAAAGUUACGCUAAUACCGCAUACGAUCUAAGGAUGAAAGUGGGGGAUCGCAAGACCUCAUGCUCGUGGAGCGGCCGAUAUCUGAUUAGCUAGUUGGUAGGGUAAAAGCCUACCAAGGCAUCGAUCAGUAGCUGGUCUGAGAGGACGACCAGCCACACUGGAACUGAGACACGGUCCAGACUCCUACGGGAGGCAGCAGUGGGGAAUUUUGGACAAUGGGCGAAAGCCUGAUCCAGCAAUGCCGCGUGAGUGAAGAAGGCCUUCGGGUUGUAAAGCUCUUUUGUCAGGGAAGAAACGGUGAGAGCUAAUAUCUCUUGCUAAUGACGGUACCUGAAGAAUAAGCACCGGCUAACUACGUGCCAGCAGCCGCGGUAAUACGUAGGGUACAAGCGUUAAUCGGAAUUACUGGGCGUAAAGCGUGCGCAGGCGGUUUUGUAAGUCUGAUGUGAAAUCCCCGGGCUCAACCUGGGAAUUGCAUUGGAGACUGCAAGGCUAGAAUCUGGCAGAGGGGGGUAGAAUUCCACGUGUAGCAGUGAAAUGCGUAGAUAUGUGGAGGAACACCGAUGGCGAANGCAGCCCCCUGGGUCAAGACUGACGCUCAUGCACGAAAGCGUGGGGAGCAAACAGGAU